rnacentral:rRNA from 1 species
AGCAGCCGCGGUAAUUCCAGCUCCAAUAGCGUAUAUUAAAGUUGUUGCAGUUAAAAAGCUCGUAGUUGGAUGUCGGGGGCCGCGGCGUGUCGCCGGCGAAAGCCGGUUGCGCACGCCAGCGCCCCCUUCUUCCGGCGAGCUGCCGUGCCCUUCGCCGGGUGCGGCAGGGAACCGGACACUUACUUUGAAGAAAU